rnacentral:rRNA from 1 species
UACGUAGGGUGCAAGCGUUGUCCGGAAUUAUUGGGCGUAAAGAGCUCGUAGGCGGUCCGUCACGUCGGCUGUGAAAACCCGGGGCUCAACUCCGGGCCUGCAGUCGAUACGGGCGGACUAGAGUACUGCAGGGGAGACUGGAAUUCCUGGUGUAGCGGUGAAAUGCGCAGAUAUCAGGAGGAACACCGGUGGCGAAGGCGGGGUCUCUGGGCAGUAACUGACGCUGGAGGAGCG